rnacentral:lncRNA from 1 species
AUGGAAGGGGGCCGGGAGCCACGCUGCUGCAGGGUGUCUAAUGGGGAUGUUUCCUCAGCCAAGACACCACUUUUUUUUUUUUAUUUAUAUAUAUAUAUAUAUAUAUCUUUUUCCCUUAGAAAUGGUUUCCCGGCCGUCCCCGUGUACAAAGCUGCAGGACGCCGCACGUCCCCUCCCAGGGACCGAGCCUCCCCCGGCCUCCAGCGCCAUGCGCCGCGGCCGCCUCCGCGGGGCCGCAUGCAGCCGCGUGUUGGUGUCAUCACCCCCGGAUCACUCCCCGGCCGGGAAGCCACCUUGAGACGUCCCCGAGGACCCCAAAGAUGUGCCGGUGGCCGGAGCGAAGGGGAAAAGGGCCCAAAACCCACCGGGACCGGCCGCCUCGGUGCGCCCCGUGCCCCCGGCCCCGCGGAUAAUAGCGGGGCUGCGGGGGCGAUUUCACGGAGAUUAACCCCGCGCCUUGCGCCGGGGCUGCCGCUGCCCUCGACACCGCUCCCCGAGUGUAUCAAAGGCGGAUUACAGAUAUAUUAGCCCCGUGGCCGGAUUUAUUAGCGGCAAUUUAUCACGUGGAGGCAGCCGGGGAGGGUGGAAGGCCAAGGGCAGGGGCGGAGGAGCCCGGCCUCCCUGUGGGGACCCGCAGCGUCGGCAGGGAGGCCCCGGUUGAAUUUUUGGGACGGGAGCCGUGCCGGGGUUGGUUUUCCCUUCCAGUUCCCCAAGGAUUUUGGUGCAGGUUGGGAAAAGGCAGCAGGGAAAUUCCUGCCGUGCUCGAGGCGAGGAAGAGGGGGAGCCUUCGGCCUCGCCGCUCACCGGGCUGCCCCCUCCGCACCUCCCCGGGGCUGGGGAAGGGAGAUCGGCGCCCAGCACCGCUCUGGGAGGGCCGGAGGGUGCCGAAACACCUCGGGGCCGGGGACGUCGCGUGGGGCACACCCAUGGGGCACACGGCGUGUGGCACGCAGCCUCUGCCGGCCUCCGGAGGCCCCGGCCUCCUGGUGCCCACGCCGAUGCCACCAGACCCCGGCGGCCGCCCCGAGCACCCCCAGCCCCUGCGGCGCGGGGACGCCCGGCUCCGGGCGCACGGCUCGGCGGGGGAACGAGCCUGGAAGAGGUUAAAGUGGGGCGAGCGGGGAGAGGAGCCUCGGAACGGGGCGUUUUAAUGACAUUCCAUUAAAGCUCCCUUUGGGGCCAGCGCGGCCGCCAUGUGCUCCACAUUCUCAUGGUAAUUAUGAGACAUCUGUAUAGAGGCUCUUUUCUCAUCAAAGAUGGCUCUCUUCAAAGACACUCCUGGGAAACCCUUCACCUCUGACCCGGGGGGUCAGCGCUGAAACAGUGGCUCUAUAGUGCGCGUUACUGUAAAGCCGAGUAUCCUUUUUCCUCCGCUAACCUGACCAGGUCCCGGCUUUUCAAGCGGGCCCGCGUUGAGCCGAGGGGGUGGGGGGCACCGGUUCGGGGACGGGCCCCCCCUCCGGCGGUCGCCGUUUCGGCAGCCCCGGCCACGGGUGCCACCGCCGCCUGCGCUGACCCCGGCCGUGGCGAUCAAAGCGGGAAGAAAAGGGUUUUAAUGAGCGGGGCCGGGGCUGCGUCCUCCCUUCCCUUGCGCUGGGGAAGGGGGACCCCGACGUCCUCCUCCCCGCGGUGCCACGGCAAAUCCCACCCCGGCUCCUGCGCCAAGUCCCUGGGGGCGAGUUUUGGGGGUCGCGGUAAGAAAACGGCCCUCUCCAAACGGCGUCCCCGGUGCCGGGGACGUGCUCCGCGGUGCCACCGGGCUCAGCGCCGGUGCCGCGGCGUGGCAAAGCCACCUCGUGUCCCCAUAUCCUCCGGGGACGUUUCCACCCCAAGCAGCAUCACCGCCCUCGGUGUGUCCCCAGGGUGCCACCUCCCCGGGCAGGGGACAGCGGGGCGGAGGGGACGGGUGCCCGGUGGCCCCCCCCGGGGUGGCUCCGUCCCUCCGGCACGGCAGCGGCGCACGAUCCCCGCGGCCCUUUCCAAUAAGUGGCAAAUGAUUCUUCGUCCUGUCGCUCCCCGGCGGCAAUAAACCUUAAUCACAAUGAAGUCA